CCGUGCUAGGCGGGGAGCUGGCGGUGCCCUGGACCCGCAAUCCGCCAUAGCGGGGCUGAAUUCCCGCUCGAGGUCCGGCGCCGUGGUCACUGCCGCCGCUGUACGGCGAUGAUGGCUGGGUCCUGCGCGGCGGGGCGCUAUGAACCCCGUCAGGCCUGGAAGGGAGCAGCGGUAAGUAGUAGCCCCGGGCGCCGCAGGUAGGCCUGGUCGGAGCUGGUUAACGGCGGUAAGCCCGUGGUGACGGGUCGACAGCGGGUGCACGG
rnacentral:SRP_RNA from 1 species